UGAUUUUUUGUCAUUAUUAAGUCAUUUUUGAUUUAAAGAAUAAGAAAUAAAAUUUCUACAGUAUUUGUAUAUUCAUAGUUCAUAUUCAUAAUAAAAUUACUACACCAAUUAAUAAAUAUAAACUAACUUAAUCCAUUUACUAUUUAUUUAUAAAUUAUAAAAUUAAAAUAAUUACAUAUACGGAAUAACAUACAUUCAUAAAUUUACAUCCUUUAAUAUUAAAAUAAGAUAUUAAAUUUAAAUAUAUAAAAUACUAAAUAACAAUUUUAAUAUAAUAUUUGAAUUAGAAUAUUAAAAGAUAAUUUAAUAUGUUUGAAUUUGUAUAUACUUAAAAUACUAAAUUUAGUUUUUUUAAAGGAAAAUACUAAAUUUAGUUGAUAUUAAUAUUAUUUAAUUAUCUGGUACAUUGAACUAUACGUCAUGUUUUACAAUUACAGUUUUUUAAGGAUGAUUUCAUAAAUAUGGGAAUAUUUUAUUAAGUAUAAGACGGGUUGAAUAACAUAUAUUUAAUCUUUAUUGUAAUAAAAUAUAUAUUGACUAAUAUAAUAAGUUAAAAAUAAACUCAUACUAUAAUUUUAAUUCUUUAAAAUAUAAGUAAAAUUAUUACGAGAUAAGUUAUAUAAAUAAUUUUUAUUUAUUCUUAUAAAAUAUAUUUAUAUAAAUUUCAGUUUAGUUAUCUAUACUUUAAAAUCAAAUUUUAUAAAAAUACACACACACAUAUAUAUAUAUAUAUAUAUAUAUAUAUAUAUAUAUAUAUAUAUAUAAAUAUUUGAAUUUUCAGUAAAUAAUUCUUUAAAUAAAAAUUACUUCCGCGUUUUGAAAGCGCGGACAAAAAUCUAGUUUUAAUUAUGUGCCUUCUUAUAAUUGAUCUUGAAAAGCUAUAAAUAUAUAAGUAAUUUUAAAUUAAUUGUUCUCAAAUAUAAGAAUGGAUGAAGUAAUAUAAGUCUUUAGAUUUAAUACGAUUUGGUUACUGAAAGAAUUAUAAGCUUAUAUUGUUUGAAAAAAAUCCACUUACAUAAUACUAAUCAAUGAAAUACAUAUAUUAGAACUAUAUGUAAACAGUUCUUUUGAUAAUUGUCACACGAUAAUUAGUAAUGAAUAUUCACUAGUGGCAACCACAUAUUAACAUCAAUAUUUCACUAUGACGAAAUCCCAUCUAGGUCAAAUUUUCGACACCUUAAUUAAUAUGAUUACGCAUCAUCUAACGUCACACAUUUUAUACGUCACCAAAAUUACAAAGAAGAAGAAUGGGAACAUAAGAUAAAUUUUUGUUGCACAAAAAAUAUAUAAAUUUUAUCUAAAUAUUUCAUGACAAGCCAAUUCAAAUAGGUGUUUACAUCAAACAUGCUGUUUUAACCCAACACAUUCUUAAAUGAAAUAAAAUUUGUUCUGCCGGAUUCAAAAGGUUCAAGUAGCGUGGACCAACUAUAUUAGAAAAACUAUAGGUUUAAGUAUAUAUACGUCGCCUUUUGUUAAUCUGGCCUUAACCAGACUAUUAUCUUCAUCACGUUUUGUUCUUUAAUUAUUUAUUUGCCUGUUUUAAAAAUCAGUGAAGACUAUUUUUCGCCUGCUUGCCACGUUAUAAACCACAUUCUCGUUGAAUCUUUAUUACCACUUCCCCACGAAUUACAUGUCUUAAUCAUUGACCAUGUUUAUUUAUUACAAGAAGUAAGAACUAAGUACUUUGCCGUCUCUUAAAAUCUUAAAAUCAUUUGAUUCUGAGAUUUGUUUUACACAUGUCAUCUAGCUAGUCUUUUCUAGUUCGGUCAUCAAAGCUAAUAAUUCAGUUUCUCAAAAGAAAAAAAUUCUUCUUCUUCUUCUUCUUCUUUUAGAGUAAUUUUAUUUUUACUUUUUAAGAGAGAAAUAAAUCUAAAAUAAAAGUAUAUAUGUUCGUAAGUGUACUACUGUAAAAACAAAUAUAGUAAUUUACACAAUAGAAAUUACAUGGUCAAAACUAUGUGGACAUAUAAAAUUAAACAACAUUUAAUAAGAUUCUCCAAUUUUGUUUGUCAGAAAUUAUUUAAAAUAUCAAUUAUUCGUCGGCUAAUGUUUUUUGUCAACAUCAUCGACUAAUAUAUUUUACCUUCUCUCUCGUCACAUUGUGCUUGCGCAAUAUAUUUCGUCACAUUAGUGUUGCUUACGUAAAUAUCUUUGCACACCUAAUUUUGAAAAGAAGGCCUUUUAAGAAUUUAAUUUAAUUUUUAUGAAAAUAAAUAUUUAAGAAAAAAAAAGACAGUAAAAAGAGAAAAAUAUUCAGGGUUUUGAUUGGAUAUCACUAGAGUAAUAUAGAAUAAAAGAAAUAGAUAAAAAUAGAAGAAAAAAUGUAAAAAACAAGAAAGAAAAAGCGCAAAUGAGAGAAAAGUUAUUACUGUAGCAAAAUAUAGGUUGUGAUUGAAAAACUUUAGAGUAACAGAGAGGAAAUAAAAAGUGAAAAAUAGAGUAAAUGUUAAAAGGUGAAAAGAGGAAAGAAAAACAAAAACCAGCGAAAAAUAUAUUUUGCUUGUAAAUUCAAAAGUAAUUUUCAAAGUGCUUUUUCACUAAAUCAAUAGUACAAAAAGUAAAAGAGCAAUAAUAAUAGUUUACCUGAUUGGAAACUUUUUACCUGAAUUUAGAGUAAAAUGGUUUUAUUUUCAAAUAUUUACUCUAAAAUGACUAUACAGUCACACCUGCAGAGUAAAAGUGUGAAAAUAUUUACUCUAAAAUAACUAUACAGUCACACUCGUUGAGUAAAAGUAUGAGUAUAUUUUUCACCAUUUAAAUAGUAACUAGAUUAAAAAUGUAAAAGUAAUUUUCCACCUGAUUAGUAAAUUUUUAAUGGACUUUGGAGUAAAUUAAAUUUCAGAGUAAUAAGUUACUCUAGAAAUACUUUCCAGUCACACUCUCAAAUUGAGAUCCUUAAAAAAAUAACAAAAAUCUGGAAUAAUUUGGCACGUCACAUUAUUUUCGUGCUACUCAUUUUUCCAACAGGCCCUCAGCACCUGAGCCGAGCCGUAUUUUCCAGAGUUAAGCCGAACCAAAAGUUUGGCCAACUCGGGUUGGAGAUGAUAACCGAUUGCUUGCUCGGUUCGGUAGUGGUAAACAGAUCGGUUUUGAAUUAAACCAUUAAACCCUAAUUAAACCUCCCUGUGUCUCUCACUGCGUGACCGUGUUCUGAAACUUCCAGACAGCGACUAAUAAACUUCUGUUUCUUGUCAACCAUCGAUUCAUUCCUGUAACUAUAGAUUCUAUAGGUAAGGCUUCUUGAUUUUCUUAGAAUGUGAGUAGUUGAACGAGUCACGCUUGAUGUUUCCUUGGUUUUGAGGUGAGCCGCCCCGUGCCAGUGCGUGUUGGUUCUCUGUGUCUCUUUCAAACUUUGUUACUUGCUUCUAAUAUAAUCAUCAUUCUACUCGUCUCUAGUUCGAAUUUUGUGAAGUUUAUGAGUCUGAGUGAGUGACUUUGAUUCAAGUAUGUAACGAAACUGAAACUUUUAUUGCAGGCUUCAUAAUGGUUUACGUAAAAUAAACGCUAACUUUUAUUGCCUUCGUGGAUUAUAGAUAAGUUUCCAGAGUCAGAAAACACAAUGGAUGAUGAUGAUAUACAAGCCAAAGAUAUAGAGGAGAAGCUGAAGAGUCAGCUUCGUCAGCUUGAAGUCGAGCACGCGGUCUUCGAGAGAAUGGUUUACAAGAAUAAGAGCAUCUCCAAUGUAAAACACCAUUUUUUCCUCCAAAAUGGAGUAAAAGUGAAAAUGAAUUAAAAUUGCUCCAAUCCUACUCCAUUUCCCACUCUAUAAUGGAGUGAUGAACAAACAAAAAAUAGAUUACUCCAUUUAUGGAGUAAACUUCAUUAUGGAGUGAGAUAUGGGGUUGGAUUGGAGCAUUCUUUACUCCAUAAUCACUUUUAAUCCAUUUUAGAGAAAAAAAUGGAGUGGGGAUGGAGAUACCCUAAGAACCAGCAUAGGAGAUGCUCCUAUUUUCACUACCUACUCAAGGUAUCUACUUCGUUUGUUUUUUUUUCGUGAUAAAGAAGGAUUUAUUUCAACUGUUUUCAAUUUUUAUUGCUCAGGGGAGGAGAGAUUUGAGGCUUUUGCGAACAGCAAACAUGGAGGAGAUUCUGAGACCAUGCUUUCAUGUUAUCUCUGGGACAGAAACUUCAUGUUUUGAAGAGGUAGGCUUAUCUUCCAUAUGUUUAUCACUGAUUUAUGAUGAGAGAAUGGAGACUGGAGCAUAGCUGACAUUUUUAGGGUUUAUGCAGCUUGAAGUUGAAUAAAUCUGAUACUGGCAAACCAAAGCUCUUGGACCGACUUCGGGGAGCUCUUCAUCUACUCUCACAGGUACUCUUAUGGAUCUUUCUUUGUUGCUUGGGUAGAGAUCAGCUGUGUAAACAAGCUCAUAGAUAUGAACAAGAUCCGAGUGUUCUGACUGGUCAUUGUGUUUGUUGCAGAUGACUGAACCCAUCUUGAAGGCAGCUAGGUGUAUCAGAACUGUUUGUAUAAUUCCUUUAGAGCUAAUCGCAUUCAACUCUUAAUUGUUUUGUCUUUCAAAUUUUUGUUAACAGUGGGAUAUCCAUUCUGCUGGCUUGUUCAUUUUUCUUAGGAUCUUCUGUGACAUUUUUGGCGCUGCUUUCACGUCUCCGAGUGUUGAUUCAAAAAAUAUUACUUGAUGAUGUUUCAGUUUUCAAUUCGGUAACCUCUACAUCCUUAGAGAAACUGUCUGUAAAAUAGCACAUGAUGGGGUUGAGGUCAGUCUAAGCUUCUGUGUUGGACCCUUUGGUUGAUUUCUUCUUACACACUUUCAGUGAUCAUGUCAGUAACAGGUGUUCCGCGAGUUUUAUCAAUAGGAUGAAGAGUGCACCACCACCUUUUUGGAUUGUGUAUGGAAAAAUGAUAAAUAUGUCUUACUUGAGACAUUGCAAACAUAGGCUUAAAAUUGUUUAGAUCUUCAUAGCUUUAGUGUUUUAAAAUGGUCAAAGGUUAAAGAGUUCAUGUUUUAUUGCUUGAUUGAAUUGUUUAAUUGCAGAAGAUACCUCUCCUUCUCCUCUGCUUGAAGGAGACGAAAACGUUGGUGUUACUGCUUCCGAGAGUUCAACUCCUCUCGCUGAGGCAGCUUCUUCCAAGACUAACAAUGGAUGAUCCCAAAGAGAAGAUUCAGAAAAACCAUAUAUGAUAAAUCUACAAAUCUUGUGAGCCCGGCAAGAAUCAACACCGACACAACUAAACCAAGUUCAGAGCAACAACCAAGGUGGUGGAUUGUCUACCUGUGAAAAGAUCUUCCUCUGCAGUAACACCAAACACCACAGAAGAACCCUCAAAGGAAGAAACAAGAAACAUGCGCGAAAGACAAAAGGGUUAUAACUAUAAAGACAGUUUGUUCUAGCA